rnacentral:lncRNA from 1 species
UGAACUAUAAUUAUUAUAAUAGAUUUUUAUACGACUUCUUUUCUUGAAUGGAGACGAUUUAUACACGACUAAAAUUUGUAUCUCCACUAUUGUUGAUACUAUAUUAUAUUAGUAAUAGAUUUUAAAGUAGAGUUUAUUUUUAUAUGAAAUUUUAUUUCUAUCUUAUAAACCAAAAAGUGAAAAUAGUGAUAAUAGAGCACUCAUAUCCCACUCAAUAAAAACCCUCUGUUGAGUUAAAAACUAGCUGGAUUUU